rnacentral:rRNA from 1 species
GACGUAGGUGGCGAACGUUAUCCGGAAUUAUUGGGCGUAAAGGGCGCGUAGGCGGCCUGAUAAGUAGGGGGUGAAAUCCUGCGGCUUAACCGCAGGGCUGCCUUCUAAACUGUCAGGCUUGAGCACAGUAGAGGCAGGUGGAAUUCCCGGUGUAGCGGUGGAAUGCGUAGAUAUCGGAAGGAACAUCAGUGGCGAAAGCGGCUUCCUGGACCAGCACCGACGUUCAGGCACGAAAGCGUGGGGAGCAAACAGG